rnacentral:rRNA from 1 species
UACGAGUGGUACAAGCGUUAUCCGGUUUUAUUGGGCGUAAAGGGUCCGCAGGUGGUUCUAUAAGUUUGGUGUUAAAUCCUGGUGCUCAACAUCAGGACCGCAUCGAAAACUGUAAGACUAGAGGCUGGGAGAGGCAUACGGAAUUGCUGGUGUAGGGGUAAAAUCCGUUAAUAUCAGCAAGAACACCAAAGGCGAAGGCAGUAUGCUAGAACAGUCCUGACACUCAGGGACGAAAGCGUGGGGAGCGAAAGGG